rnacentral:tRNA from 2 species
AGGGGAUUGAUGUAAAGGCAGCAUACGUGACUUUGACUCACGCAGUACCGGUUCGAAUCCGUUAUCCCCUG